rnacentral:rRNA from 1 species
GACGAACGCUGGCGGCGUGCUUAACACAUGCAAGUCGAACGAUGAAGCCGGAGCUUGCUCUGGUGAAUAGUGGCGAACGGGUGAGUAACACGUGAGUAACCUGCCCUUGACUCUGGGAUAACUGCGGGAAACUGUAGCUAAUACCGGAUACUUUCACCGGGGGGCAUCCUCUGGUGAUGAAAGAAUUUCGGUCAAGGAUGAGCUCGCGGCCUAUCAGCUUGUUGGUGAGGUAACGGCUCACCAAGGCGACGACGGGUAACCGGCCUGAGAGGGUGACCGGUCACACUGGGACUGAGACACGGCCCAGACUCCUACGGGAGGCAGCAGUGGGGAAUAUUGCACAAUGGGCGCAAGCCUGAUGCAGCAACGCCGCGUGAGGGAUGAAGGCCUUCGGGUUGUAAACCCCUUUUAGCAGGGAAGAAGCGAAAGUGACGGUACCUGCAGAAAAAGCACCGGCUAACUACGUGCCAGCCGCCGCAGUAA